rnacentral:tRNA from 1 species
GGGCGAUUGGCUCAGCUGGUUAGAGCGCUGCUUUCACAGAGCAGAAGUCACUGGUUCGAAUCCAGUAUCGCCCA